rnacentral:lncRNA from 10 species
AUGAGUUCCUGGCAGAUGAUGUAAACUGUAAGCUUCUGGACCCAGCUUAAGUAAAGUAAGUGACCCUUUUUGCCUUAAGUCAACUUGGGUUGUAUUUCCUAUUACUUAAAACCAAGAUAACCCUAAUUAAUAAAUACUUAAAUGAAGAAUAAGCAAUAUUUGGUAAUUAUAAAGACAGUAGAAAGAGAUGAGGUAUUAUGUCAAGGUUUUGUAUGUGGGAGAUUGAAACGAGGGAGUCUUGCAGUAUAGUACUUCUGAGGAGGGGCAUUAGCUGAGUAGUUGUUGCAUCUGGGAGGAGCUGAAGAAGACGCUGGUGUCACAGGGUUGCUUUCAUACAUAUUUGGAAUAACCAGGACAGACUGGAAAGAAUGAAUAAAAACAAGCAAUAUGGUUACUACAAUCCUAUGCAAUUUCCCCUGGUACCAUCAGAGUGAAGGACAAAGAGCAUUCUGUAUCAUCAAAUGCUUGUUCCAGAGGAGUGUGAAUUUAUUUUGGAUUUUCUUUAAAAUGCCAGAAGUCUUUCCUUUUGAUAGACUUCGGUUUUGCUUCUGCCAGGUACCAGGGGCACCACAUACCAAGACCAAAUUCAGGCCCGCCUUCUAAGUUCACACACUCCUCAGGGCAGUGAGAAGGAUUUCUUAAUAGAUGAAGGGAAAUAAGCAGCAACGGCAUCAUCUCAGAACUUUGGUAUCCCACCUAAUGAUAGAUGAGAGUAAUCUGCCACUUAUCUCUGGUUGCUUUUAUUAUUUUCUUUUUGACUAUGGUGUUUUUAUUGUCAUGAUGAUAUUUCUAGGUGUGUAUUUGAUUCUGUGUAUCCUGCAGUGGUCUCAAUGCAUUCCUUCAAUCUGAAAUCUCAUGUUUUUAUUAAAUUCUAAAAAAUUUCUAGUUAUUUACUUUUGCAUAUACUCUCUCUUUUAUAAUCUCUCACUGGGACUCCUACUAGAUAUGUACUGAACCUCUCCACUUCCCUGCAUCCAUCAUACCUUUUAGGCUUUCAUCCAUCUUUUCCAAACACACAUAAUGUGUUGUGUUCUGUGUGAUUUAAUCAAAUCUAAAUUCCAUUUCACUCUUUGUUUCCUUGAAUAUAUUGAAUCUGCUGUUUAACUGAUCUGCUCAGUUUUUAAUUUCAAAGACAAUUUUCAUUUCCAAGUAUGUGAUUUCAUUUUUUUCUCAAAUGCACAUAUCUUUUUUUUCCUUUACUGUCCUUUUUUUUUUUUUCCAUUUUGGUUUCUAUUACUUUUUUUUUUUUUUUUAGACAGGGUCUCAUUCUGUCACCCAGUCUGGAGUGCAAUGGUGUGAUCUCAGCUCACUGCAACCUCUG